CGGUGAGUGAAGAAGGCCUUCGGGUUGUAAAGCUCUUUUGUCAGGGAAGAAACACCGGCUCUAACACAGUCCGGGAAUGACGGUACCUGAAGAAUAAGCACCGGCUAACUACGUGCCAGCAGCCGCGGUAAUACGUAGGGUGCGAGCGUUAAUCGGAAUUACUGGGCGUAAAGCGUGCGCAGGCGGUUAUACAAGACAGGCGUGAAAUCCCCGGGCUUAACCUGGGAAUGGCGCCUGUGACUGUAUAGCUAGAGUGUGUCAGAGGGGGGUAGAAUUCCACGUGUAGCAGUGAAAUGCGUAGAUAUGUGGAGGAAUACCAAUGGCGAAGGCAGCCCCCUGGGAUAACACUGACGCUCAUGCACGAAAGCGUGGGGAGCAAACAGGAUUAGAUACCCUGGUAGUCCACGCCCUAGACGAUGCUGACUAGUUGUUCGGGAUUUACAUCCUGAGUAACGUAGCUAACGCGUGAAGUCAGCCGACUGGGGAGUACGGUCGCAAGAUUAAAACUCCAAGGAAUUGACGGGGAACCGGACAAAGCGGUGGAUGAUGUGGGAUCAUUCGAUGCAA
rnacentral:rRNA from 1 species